rnacentral:lncRNA from 1 species
AGAAUUUCAGGCUUUCAUUUCUUUAGUCUAUUUGAUGAGCAGGCUGGUUUUCAUCUUUUUGAUGUAUUUGAGUACCUGAAACUGAUAUUAAAUACUGCUUUAAAAAUACCAUUUUCCCUUUUCUUCAAAUAUUUGUCUAUCACUUCACCCACCUUGCAGUUCUCUCACUGUCUAUGACUUUUUUCAUUUUCCAGAAUUCACUGUAUUGACUUGCGCAAGGGCAUGUGGAAGGCAAGAACACACAAGGAUAUCUGAUCAGUGCCCUUUUCAAUGUAAAAGGAGAUAGGUAAAGGAGGAAGGGUUAACAAGAAAGACAAACAAGAUAGACAAAGGAUAGAUAAUAAAGACAAUGGUAAAAACCAAAUAUCUCCAGGUGAUAAUUGGUGGACCAUGAAGAAACUCCAGGUGCAAGUUUGGAGAGGAUCAGCCUCAAGGUACUUUUGUGUUUGUGUGAAUGCUGCAAGGACUAAGGUGCCACUACUGAGAAACUGCCUGCAGGCCCAGAAACAAGGUUCUUCUGUCUCUGGUGAUGGAAAAUGAGAUAUUUUAGCCAGUUUGGAAGCUUGGGGUCAUGGUCUGAAGGCCAGCCAAGAAGGACUCAUGAAGCAAUCAAUUGUAUUUCUUGCAACAUCAAUCCUAAAGAAUUCUUGAAAGGCAAAUUAGAAUCUAAAUAGAUAGUAUUGAUUUGGGUGAACUUUACUUGAGAAUUUUGAAAUCUACUGGACUCAGCUCUAGAAAUCUCUUCUCAAAUAUCUUUAUUUCCCAGCCACAAUGAGUCUGCCAGUCUGACAAGCAACUAUGCCCCACAGCAGCCUCAGGAUAAUUCACCUGCCACUACUUGAGCUUAGUUUCCACACCUGAAGUCAUCUAUUCUUCUAGAAAGGAAAUUUGUCUCUCAAUAACAAAACUAUCUUUCUUCAAUGACUUCAGAUGAAAUAAGAAUGCAAUUUUUCCUUUAUGCUCAGUUUUACUAUUUCAGUUUUAAAAAAAAUUAAAGUUUUAUUCUGAAUAACUGAAAUCAUCUACUGCCUCUGAUCUAAGCUGCUCUUUGGGGCAGGAACUGCCUAAGAAUUAUCUUCAAAACCAGACACAGCCUAAAUGGAAAGCAAACCUGUAAGCACAGCCUGCUCAUGCCUCCCAAAUCAAGGAAGUGUGCCAGGUAAGUCUGUAUGCUACUAGGCACACUGCUUGCACUCUAGUCUGCAUUUCAGAUUUGUGGAUGGCAGUCAAGCAGAAUGCAGACCACAUUGCAUUCAAGACCUCUUCAGGGGCAGCUAGGUCUCAUCCCACAUAAAGCUAAGCCACUAUGGAAAUAUAAAACGAUAUACAGGUGAUAAAGCAUUUUUUAGGCAAAAAAUCUAUCC